CGGAGAAGCGAGGCCACGCCCUCAACUCUUGGGAAUCGCCAGAGAAUAGUUGGGGAAUCGAGGCUGCCCUCCACGCCGCCGACACCCUGCCUCCACAUCGACCGGCCCCCUCCUCGAAGCCCUGCCUCCAUGCCUUGUCCCGUCUGCAAUUGCGUUGCGCCCUCCAUCAGAGAAUAAGAUGUCCUGAAGCCCAGGAUAUUUUCGUCUUCCUCGCACGUGUGCCCAGGAACUAAAUUAGAGACUUGGGGUUUUAAUGGUGUUGAUGUCAUAAGGAAAAGUAAACAACAGGUGCGCUCAAGAUUGAACUGUCAAGAUCAGAGUAUGAUGCUUCCUCUCUGACUUUCGGUGUUGGCUUCAACCAAAAUUCCUAUUCAGAAGUAGGCAUGUAAGCCUACCUACCUUCUAUCCUCUAAAUAAUUAGUAUGUUUAUAACUCUGCUACAUUGCAUUUCAAAUUACAUCUUUGAUAUUGAGGUUUCACUUAACGGUUUCAAGAUACUGUUAGAAAUAA